rnacentral:rRNA from 1 species
GAUGAACGCUGGCGGCGUGCCCAAUACAUGCAAGUCGAGCGAUCGGACGAGAAGCUUGCUUCUCUGAUGUUAGCGGCGGACGGGUGAGUAACACGUGGAUAACCUACCUAUAAGACUGGGAUAACUUCGGGAAACCGGAGCUAAUACCGGAUAAUAUUUUGAACCGCAUGGUUCAAAAGUGAAAGACGGUCUUGCUGUCACUUAUAGAUGGAUCCGCGCUGCAUUAGCUAGUUGGUAAGGUACGGCUUACCAAGGCAACGAUGCAUAGCCGACCUGAGAGGGUGAUCGGCCACACUGGAACUGAGACACGGUCCAGACUCCUACGGGAGGCAGCAGUAGGGAAUCUUCCGCAAUGGGCGAAAGCCUGACGGAGCAACGCCGCGUGAGUGAUGAAGGUCUUCGGAUCGUAAAACUCUGUUAUUAGGGAAGAACAUAUGUGUAAGUAACUGUGCACAUCUUGACGGUACCUAAUCAGAAAGCCACGGCUAACUACGUG